GGAGUUGUGGCUUAACAGUAGAGCGCUCACCUCGCAUGUGUGAGACCCUGGGUUCGAUUCUCAGCACCA
rnacentral:tRNA from 1 species